rnacentral:rRNA from 1 species
UACCAGCACCCCGAGUGGUCGGGACGAUUAUUGGGCCUAAAGCAUCCGUAGCCGGCCUUACAAGUCCUCCGUUAAAUCCAGCUGCUUAACAGAUGGGCUGCGGAGGAUACUAUAAGACUAGGAGGCAGGAGAGGCAAGCGGUACUCAGUGGGUAGGGGUAAAAUCCGUUGAUCCAUUGAAGACCACCAGUGGCGAAGGCGGCUCACUGGCCCGAUACUGACGCUGGAGGCACGAAAGCGUGGGGAGCAAACAGG